ACGGUGAACCAACCGUCGCGCCCACUUACGUAAAAAUUAUCAAACCUCACGACGGUGAAUCUACCGUCGCCCACUAUUAAAAAACAAUUAUCAAAGGGCACGACGGUGAAGACUGUAAAGUUACCGUCGCCACCCCAUAUACCCCAUAAAUACAAAUAUUCUGUGAAACCCUUCCACUAACUCUACGAUUUCCUGCUUCCGCCAAAUCUAAAUUAUUGUAAGCGUGCAACUUUCAGCUUUCCAGUCAAUCUAGAUUCUUCACCAAACGUUUCAAUUUGAAGCAUACAACCUAACAUGAUUGAACCAGUCAGAAAGCGUGAGCGGGCCGAAAGGAGGGAAACCUCGCUUCCACCAUCGUGGAAAGUUUGGUCAAACAAUGCUAAUUGUUGGGUCUAGCCAAAGUAUUGACAAUGAUAACCUCCAUCCCAGAUAAGUUUUCUGUAUUUUAUUCGAACAGAUUCUAGUUUCUACGCUUAUUAGAGAAAUGGAUUUUUGUAUUUCUAUUAACUCCAACUUCGGUGUUGUGUAAAUUGUCUAAUGUCCUUUAAUCUACCUUUCGGGUGCAUAGAAAGAUCAGAUAAUCAAAGAGAUUAAACAGGUCUCUGUGUUGACUCGGUCUUAUGAUGGCGUUAGCCUCAUGGCGCUCAUGACAGAGAUGAAAACAACCCCGCACAGGAAUUCAGCAUACCACACAUUCGAUGAAAUGCCAAAGAGAAAAUUAAGAAGAAGCAAAGUUGGGGCCUUGGAAGACUUCGAGCAGGCCAACAUCAAAAUGUCGCUCGAAUAGUCAGAUUGUACCGUCAACACCGUCAUUCAUAGAUAAGUCACAUAUUCUCACUCUAUUAUGUGGUAUCUGAACUUUUCAUACAUUGCACUAUUUGCUUGUAAUAACAGCUAUCGGAUUAUAGGUUUAAACCUAAUAUAACCCCUGUUAUCAGUAAAACCUUUGGCACAAUUACAUAAUUUGAAUAUGUUGAGAGCUUAGCACCAGCAGCUGUUCCGAUAUCGGCCUUAGUGUAUGGACUGGAUUUUUAAUGAGUUGCUGCUAAACAAUUUUUCAGAAAUUAAUAUAUUGAUGAGUAUAUUACAGGAUUUAACAUAAUGUCUACAUUGUUAUGAUAAUCCGAGCAACCGAUGGUUUUAUGCCACGGUGUUCCAAGGAGAGAAAUUUGUUAUGGAGAUGGUGGUCGAUCCAUGACAAUUCAUGUUACCAAUAUGCUCAUCCCAGACGAAGCCCGAACCUAAUCACAAUUCCUACAUUGCAAUAAAAAGUCACAGGGAGCUACAUCAAAGUUCAUAACGGAGUUCGGAGGCGCGAACUGUGAAGCUUCAGUCCAGACUCUGUGUCUUCCUCUAGUCUGUCCGAAAAAUUUGUCCACUAAGAUUGUACAAGCUUGCAGAGAAGUAAUAUGGUAGGAGUUUCCAAUAUCAAUCUAUAACUGGCUUGAUCCGCAUUAGCAAGUAGGCGUAACCAAAUUGGAACAUAAAAGAUAAGUAUUUGAUUCCAUUUAGCAUGAAACGUACUGAUACUUGUUCUCAAUUCCAUUGGUUAUCAUGUAUUGAUACUUCCGUUGGUUUAUCAUGUACUAAUACUUGCUCUCAAUUCCAUUAGUUUGUCAUGUGCUGAUACUUGUUGUUAAUAUUUUGUGUAGUGAAUACAUUUAUAUGGACUGAAUCAAUUUAAGAAAAGAAUAUCUUCCAUAUUUGAAUGCAUUCUUUGAUGUUGUUGGAUCAAACUUUAGCCAGGGAGAAAAUUCUGCAACAGCUGAACGUUUGAAAUAAGUUGCGUGUUAGCGGAGAGGCAAAGGAUGCCGAGCACUAAGAGAAGUCUCUUCCUUACAGAAAAUCCGACCUCGUAUUCAAUUCAGCGGCAUCAUACGAGUACACUGUCUCGAGGUUAAGUGUUUGUCGCUAUUUCGAUAAUGCCGGUUAGUCUCGACAAACUCUCAAAGGUGUCAUCUAAGGUCAUCUGAGGUUAGGCUGAUACGAGUUCAAAGGACUGAACGAGACAAAUGGGGUCGGAGAGCUAAUUCGGUGAACAGGGUUGAUCAUACAGCAAGCAACACACAAAUAACCGCUAUCAGAUUAUAUUGUUAAAACCUAGUAUAACCCCUGUUGUCUAGAAAGCCUUUGGAAGAAUCACAUAAUUUGAUUUAUAUUUAUAGUAUUAAUUA